AACCAACGUGUUUCAGUGAAAGGCGAGGGAAGCUGGAGAAUGUUCUUUACAACUGGAUUUCAUCGAUUGCUUCCAGGUGGUUCUCGAAAAUAAUGGAGUUUGUCGAAGGGGAUGCAUUUUUCUCAAGUGAAGGUGACGCCUUGAAGAGGAACUGCAGAUAUUCAGUAAUAGAGUCAUGUAACAGUGUGUGGUACAAGGAAAAUUUCAUUCUGGAACUAGCCCAGGUAAAUGUUAUGAAGACUAGACUCCCAGCUUUUUUUCUGCAGUCUUGGCCUGAAACAUCCAUAGACGCUGCCUGGCCUGCUGAGUUCCUCCAGCAUUUUGUGUG